CCCGGCCCAGGCGCAGUGCAACAGGGGCAAUUGUCCAGGGCCCAAAGUUGAAUGGGGCACCCAAAAAACAAAAUCCAAAUAAUUAGGUAUAAAAAAAAAAUUUGUCCAAAGCCCAAAAUAAAGGUUGUAGGCGAUAACUUGUCCAGGUUUUGGGGAUUAAAAAUCAAUAUAACAUAAAGGGUAUCUGAAGGGGACAAGUCGUCCAGGUUUUGGGCAUGGAGGAGAGGCAUAAGAUUCAAGUUUUUCAAAGGGAGCUCCCUCUGCUUGGAGCUUGUCACCCAACUGCCUAAGCCCAAGCUAUUGAGAGGUGCAAGCAGCAGAUUUCAGAUGCAACCGCAAAUUACCUGCAUGGACAAUCUAAGUGUUCUGAGCAGACUUCAAGUGAGGGGCAUGUUUUUGAGGAAUUCAUUCCAUUAACACGGAUUUCAUACAACUCCAGAUGCACCACUCGAAGAGGGUAAUGGCAGGAGGAGCAAGUUAAAGGCUAUAGUGAUGGAGAUGAAGAGAAAUGGGGUGCUUUUCAGCCUUUCCAAAGGAAAAAAAAAGCAUUGGAAAGACAAAUUGACCAGUGGCUAAAGAACCUUCUUCGGCUCCGGCUACUAGUUCCACCACGGACACCGUGAAUGGAGACAGUGGUGGGAACAACAAGAACAAAGAGAAAGAUGGACAGGGAGACGAAGGCGAAACUGGUCACCGGAGUUGCACCGCCGGUUCUUGCAUGCUCUUCUCUUCAACAACUUGGUGGUUCACAUGGUAUGCAGUUGAGAUUAAUUUAGUGGGAUAUGUUAUUUUAUAUGAUUGGAUGAAUAUGUGAUUGGAUUGGGAUGUAUUGGAUGUGUUUAAUGCGUUCUGCGUAUAUGUGAUUUUCCAUCUUUUUUUAAUCAUAAUUUGGUUGAUGUGAAAAAUUUU